rnacentral:sRNA from 1 species
AUCGGUUUGGAAGUACAGACCUAUUUAUGUAAAGCAAGUUUAAAGUAGUUCACCUUUUAGCGCUAUCUUCGAUACCACUUCAUUGCGAAUUUCUUCUACUUAGUGCCCAUAAGUAAAACAGAAAACAAACCUUACAACGCCUUAUGGCAACUUAAAAAAUUAAAGGAAUUCAACAUGUCUAAUACAAUGACUGGUACAGUUAAAUGGUUCAACAGCGAUAAAGGUUUUGGCUUUAUCUCUCCAAAAGAUGGAAGCAAAGAUGUUUUUGUUCAUUUCUCUGCAAUUCAGAGCAAUGAUUAUAAAACUUUAGAUGAAGGCCAGGAAGUUUCUUUCUCAGUAGAAAGUGGCGCUAAAGGCCCAUCAGCAACUAACGUGAUUGCUUUAUCUUAAAUCACUGCUGAACAGAAUAAGACGAUAGCCUUAUG